AUUAAUAAAAAGAAAAACAGCACAAUCGUAGCAAAGGAUGAAGCAAGCGGCUGACCAUCAAGAAGACGAAGCAUGAAAAUUCUGCAAACUUUUAUUAAAAAAAACAAUACAAACUCCAAGAAAGUUCGUGUGUUCAGAAAAAGCUCUUUAUGAUCUGGGGAAUAUGCUUUCUACCAUUUCUGAUUUUAUAUGGUUUGUUUUUAUCACAGUUGUCUUGAUUGUUAAAUUUUUAAUUUUAAUAAAAAAUUAUUUUAUAUCAUUUCAAGCUGACAUUUUAAUUAAAAAAAUGAAAAAUGAAGCGAGGUCUACAAAGAAAAGUCAGCCUGAAUGGCACCAGGACAAGAUUAGCUUAAAAUCUUCCACUCAGAAGCCUUCAUCCCUCUGUGACUGUGACCCCAUCAGCCAUCUUCUUCUUCUUUCUUUCUUUCUUUCUUUCCUUUUGUAGGUGAAGACCAAAAACCAAAGUACAAGCAAGGAUUUUCUAGGAAAAGUUGUAAUAAACACUAUCUUCCUCCUCAAGAAAGUCAUCCAAACAGAAAGAUCUCGAUAUAUAUGUUCGAUGCUUGAUAGGCUAUUCUCCAAUGGAAAAAAAGAAAGAGUACAGUAAUAAAGAUGGCUUCUUUCCAGUCUCUUCUCCUAGGGUCUCUUGGAAACCUCCAAGGACAUCAGCUAGCGGGAGGAGUUUAUGCAGUGUAACUGCUAAUGAAACUCCCAGCAAAAUGGAAGAAUCUUCCAAUGAUGAAAAGAUGCAGGAGCCAGAUACACUUCCUGUGCUUUCUGAGAAGCGAAAGGCUCUCUUUGAACCAUUGGAACCAGUAACCAAUAUCAAUGGCAAACGACCAUCAGCCGAGUCCCUUCUUCCUCCACCAGAUUUUGACUCAGCAAGCUAUCCCAAAGGUUGGCUAAUUGGAAAGAAGCGAAAGCUUGUUAACAUAGAUGUCGUCGAGAGCAUGAGGAGGAUUGCCAUUCAGGAAAUGAACAGAAAGGACCGGGAAAUUAAUGGCCUAAAUGAGCAGUUGGAAGAGGAUGCAAGGUGUCUAGAACACCUGCAACUCCAGCUUCUGCAAGAACGAAGUAAACGUGCCAAUGUUGAGAGAGAGAACGCAAUGCUGCAAGACCAAAUAUCCAUGCUGAUGAACAUGCUAGAGGAAAAUGAACAAAUGGGUGAUGAAGGCCCUGAUGAACCUUAAAUGGCAGCUUCAUCUUCUGCUUUAUUCUUUUGCAAGUUUGUUUGAAGGGUUAGAAGGAAUCUUCAAUGAAAUGAUUUCAAUCUCCAAAUAUCAGAAAAGUUGAUGAAAAUUAGUCUUGCAAUUCAGAGACAGUGAUUGAAGAGUUAAGAUUACAGAAGUCUGUAGAGACAAAAGCACUACUAUUCAUCUGCUAUAAACAAUAAACAUGUCUUGAUCCUUCAUCAACCUGGAGCUUCUACAAUUCACAGAAACUAGACUUUUGAAGACAGCAGAAUCCAUCAUGUUUUUUCAUUUCUUGAUCUGAAUCUCCCUACGUGUUAUAAAAAAGUUUUGGGAGAGAAUCGAUCCUUGGGAGAUCAAGCAGCAGCUCCCCAAAUGAAUCCUUGCUUGAUGUAGUUGGUGCCUGCUCGCAGCUGGAAAUACUAUCGGACAGAUCUUUGGGCACCGGAAAACUUUCCACGAAUUUAUCCAGGCAGGCUGCUCUGCUGAUGGAUUUAUUUUCACCUAUGCUUCCAUCAUCAUCUACUUCAAGAUCAAUGAAACUCUUAGUCUGCAAAUUUCCUGCUGACGCAAGAUCUCUCUCUAAUAGGCAGCAAAGAGAAUCAACCCUUGGCAUGAGGUGCUGCUCAUCUGAUGCUGAUACAAGUUGAGAGUCACUAAGCAAGAACUCAGUGAUCUCCUCUAGAAUGUCACUGUUCUUUGCAUUGUCAUGUGAAAUUCUAGGAUUGCAAGGUGUCAUCUGUUCUGAAAUGCACUGUUCAAGGUGGUUCUCUGGGCCGCUCGUCGACAUGAAUGGCUGGAAUCCAGGCACCUUAAUUUGAUCCCAAUAGCUAGGUAACCUCUCUGUUUUCAAACUAAUGGUUGCUUCAGUUGCUUCAGUUGCAUCAGUAUUCAUCACUACAAAUGAUAAACAAGAUAUACCAGCAAGGAGAUUACGUUCCAUACAAAAAUAACAAACAUCAACUUCAAAUAUAAAUGGCGAAGCUACUCAAUCUCCCAUCCUGACAAAUGAUUCUUUGACUUGAAUCAUUUGUAAACAGGUGAAGCAUUGGGGCAAAGAUUCAGUAAUGAGGUCACUAUUCAUUCAAAUUACUAAUGGACACAUCCGCAGCUGCCAGCAGUUGCAAACUUGCUAUCUAUCGUUAACGUGCAAACAAUGGAUAUACUUCUAAAUUCAAAUCCAACCAUAUAAGUACAGAAAAUUCAUGCAGAGUAUAUGCACAUCAAUGAUUAGAGAUGCAGCAUUGAUCUCAAGUCUAAUAACACGACGAGAAAAGAGCCUUUCUGUGAAGGAAAGCUGGUCGCUAAAAGUUAGAUUCCUGUUGCAAAAAACAAUUAGCGACUAUAAUUAUCCCUCGCAUGCUAUUGCAGCAGGCUCCGUCGUUAGAAAGUUAAAAGGACGGGAAGGAAUUGCCCAUCGCAAAUACAAAUUUAGGAAGGUACUUAAUGUUGGUCGUAAAAAAAAAAUGUGACAAAACUACCUUCGCAAUUAAAAAUUGUUCACCAUUUUCAACCACGUUUUCAGUUUCAGGGUCAUAUUUUACCUGUUAUAGGUGAAGGAUUUUCCUGAGAAGUACUUUCAGAAGUGCUGACAUUGAAAACUUGGUUCUCAUCAUUCAUGGAAGAAGAAUGGAAUCUAUAUGGUGAUGCAGCUUGCCCUAAAGCAAAGAGAGCAGGUCUCUUCUUAACCUUCAAAUCAAACGCCUUAGAGGAUUCAUUCAACUCACUAAAUGGAGGAAUGCUUUGCUCAAAAUAAGGACUUUCCAACAAAAUUUCAGAUUGUUGGCUGAGAAAGUUGAGAUGAGGAUCAAACUGAAUAAUUUUUUCAAAAUGCUUCCCUAAGAACCCCC